CAUGCAUCCCACGGUCCGCGCGCACACGAGCCGUUGCGUCGACAUGAAGCAAACUAUUAUUAAAAUGAGCAGAAACGCUCCCGUUCUGCAACCAGUCGAAUCGAAUGGGGGUCAAGGUCCCCGAAUUAUAGAGGAAGGCGAGCCAGUUUUCUCGGUGUCAGCGACUGUUUCUUGUUUGGUUUGAGUGGUCAACAUAUUCACAAACGGUGUACAUACUCCGAAUAAAUUAUCAUAUUAAGCAUUAUCGAGAGGAAA